rnacentral:rRNA from 1 species
UACGUUCCCGGGUCUUGUACACACCGCCCGUCACACCAUGGGAGCGGGUUUUACCAGAAGUAGGUAGCUUAACCGUAAGGAGGGCGCUUACCACGGUAGGAUUCGUGACUGGGGUG